GGCACGAUGCCGGAGUGGUCUAACGGGUGAGACUUGAAUCCUUCUUUCAAUGUUAUCUCAUGUCUUAGGACGCGCAGGUUCGAAUCCUGCUCGUGUCG